rnacentral:rRNA from 1 species
UUGCAACUAAUGUUCUCCCUAGUAAGUAUAGUGAUAUGCAAAGCCAGUUUUCCAUAUAAAGAGGAUCUAGUCGGAGAUUGUGUUUUUCUGGUACAGUAGCACAGGGGCUGUGUGUCUACCAGUAGACCCCUUGGGGGACAGCUCCUAGGGGUGGGUAUAGCCGAAGUACACGCGCGUUUGCUAAAUAAUUAAGAACCACAGGCUAAUGUCUGUAAGAAGUUAGGAUCUGAUAGUGGUAGAUAUCCUUGCUCUAGGCGUAACAACCUAGCCCACCGAGGUGGGAGGGAUAGUGGAUUCUCCUCACGGAGGUCUAUUGAGGAGUACAUACAAACUAUGUUAUAUUACUGUGAGAUUUUAGUUUGUGUAUAAUUAGACUAGGAGGAAGUAAUCAAGAGCUUUAAAUAAGUAAUUUUAUGUGGAAGUAUUUUAAUACGUCACAUGUUUGUCCACUACGAAGAUACGAAUAAGAUGUUAAAAAUUACUCGUUUCUUACCCCCUUGGAGUGUUUACUAAAAGCUUGCUUUGAAGAUUCUUAUUUUAAAGUUUCCAGGGCCAAUUCUCAUGUAUUAGAGGCCUGCGAGGUUAUUGACCUCGAAGGUUGAGUGUGAGUGGAACAGCCCUUCUUUAAUCCUAAAGUUACGGGUUGCGCUGGUUGGGUGGGUAAGAAGUUUCUUAAGUUUUAAAUGGAAUUGGCUUACUCGUGAAUAGUCGAGUGUAGUUUAACGGGAGGAAGAGACCCCAGGUAGUUAAAGCUAUUUCCUAAAAAAGAUCACCGGGUGGUGGGCUUGCCCGCACCGGGAGUUGAUUAGGGAUAACUUUCGGUUGGGGAAACAGCCUUUGAUAGUUAAUUCGUCUAUUUAAGAUAGAUAGCAGAGGUUAUUAUGUGUGAGUGUUUAUGUUGUUUUUUACAGUUGCACAGUAGUAAGUAGGAGUAUUAUGAUGCUUACUCUGGUUAGGUGCGAUGUUAAGUAUACCAUUAAUCCUGCCUGUGGGUAAGAUAAAAAUAAAACUAACCCUGGGGAUAACAGCGCAAUGGAUUUAGGUAGUUCAUUUGCCUAAGUUCGGUUACGACCUCGAUGUCGGCUCAGAUUAAGUGUUAGCGCAGCAGCUUUUUACUUUGUGUGUGUUGGUCACAUAAAAUCUUCGUGAGCUGGGUUGAGAACGGAGUGAUUUAGUUUGGUUUUUAUCUGUUAUGGUGUGGAAGGCCAGGACACGUAGUGUUCCUGCCCCACUCCGACUAGUACGAAAGGAAAAGAGGGGCUAAAUUUUUGUUAGAA